GGCGACGUACCCAAGUGGUUAAGGGGCGGGUUUGCAAAACCUGUAUUCACCGGUUCAAAUCCGGUCGUCGCCU
rnacentral:tRNA from 1 species